rnacentral:rRNA from 1 species
CAGCAGCCGCGGGAAUACGUAGGGUGCGAGCGUUAAUCGGAAUUACUGGGCGUAAAGCGUGCGCAGGCGGUUUGUUAAGACAGAUGUGAGAUCCCCGGGCUUAACCUGGGAACUGCAUUUGUGACUGGCCGGCUAGAGUAUGGCAGAGGGAGGUGGAAUUCCACGUGUAGCAGUGAAAUGCGUAGAUAUGUGGAGGAACACCGAUGGCGAAGGCAGCCUCCUGGGCCAAUACUGACGCUCACGCACGAAAGCGUGGGAAGCAAACAGGAUUAGAUACCCCGGUAGUCCCUGUCUCUUAUAC